GGUCCUGGGUCCAGAGUGGGUGGAGACGGCGAGACCCCAACCAAGCUGCGGCGGUUCGUGGGGUCUGCAGUGGUUAUGGUGUCAGGCAGAGUGCUUGGAGUCCUCGGAAAGCACUAGGAGCAUCCGUCGGCGGAAGGUACCCGGUCGGGGUGCCAGCGGUUCCGUUACACAGUGUAAACCCACAAUGGUGGACGGAUCGACCAGAUAGGACAUGGCAAGGUGUCAUGGCGGUAGCUCCGUUCCCAUCAGCCAGUGUAAACCCACAAUGGUGCACUGAUCGACAAGAUAGGACAUGGCAAGGUGUCCGGGCGGGAGCUCCGUUCCCAUCAGCCAGUGUAA